rnacentral:lncRNA from 1 species
GAAACUUGACCCCGGCUCAUCCUGUCUCUGGCUGUGGCCCGGCAAAGCACUGAAAACCCCUCUGGUCUCAGAGACAGUAGGGGCAGUGCCACUUUCUACAACCUGCCAACCCACACACUGGAGUAAUUCUGAAAAAAAUUAUUCCUAAACUCUCUAAGUGUGGACGGAGAAUGAGCAAGCCCCAGAAGUAUUUUACAACCAGAGUGGGUAAUGAGGAGGGGGCUUACUGGAAUCGUCAUAUCUCUGAAUAUUGAAAACAACAACUAAAAAAGUGGACCUUCUCAGAAAAAAAGGGCAGCAAAUGACCAAGGGCGCCCCUUCUGGCCGUGCUUGGCUUGAGUAACUGUCUCUCUUUCCCCACCCCCAUCACAGGGCUUUCAGUUUGGCAAAGGAAAAGCAGAUAAAAACAGAACAUUCCAUAUGUUUCUUUCUCCAUCGGCCAAAAACAUUUUGACACAAUGUUUGUGAAACACCUUUGGAGAGGUGCACUUCUGAAUGCUGCCUCUGCCGUAAAUCCUGGGGCAAGGGAUCAGCCUCUUCCCAGGAACCAUCGCCUUCUAUAAACCGUGAACUCAAGCAGGCAUUUUUUUUUUCUUACCGAAAGGCUGCUAUUGUGCAAGGGCACAUAAUGGGUCUGUUGCUCUUAUUGGCUUCCAAAUGUGCAUGGCAAAGAGAGAGAUGUGGGCCUAGAGCAGAUAUAUUCAGCAAGGUGACAGCUUCCCAUAACAAUUCUAACACUUCUUAUCUUAUGUGAGAAUAAAAUAUUUAAGGGUUGAACCUUAUUUUGCCAAAUGUAUCUUUUCUGCUUUUGAAUUGGGCAGAAGAUUUUAGCAACUAUAUUCUACAAAUGUUACUUAUAACACACACACACACAUCUGAAAUAUAUGCCGAAAAUUGACGUCUUUGACCUCAGGGAGAGCACCUGUCCAGGUCUGCCUAAAGGAAAUGGCUCCAGUGGGUCUAAACAACCACAUCCUAUCCAUGGAUAGGUCUAGUCAUAACACUUUAGAGAGAAUGUCAGAGCAGGAGGGAGGCAAGCCGCCUCUUCUCGGCCAUCGACUGCAGAUGAUGAAAGAGCGGGAUUCAACUUUGUUUUCUUUUCCUGUGGCCCCAGUGAAACCUCCUGCCCUCCCUGCACGUCUGUGUCUUCAUUUCUAAAAUGGGGGUGAUGCUUUCAUAUUGACCUCACCCCAUACUACCUCACAGAUGUGUUGUGAGGAUUAAUAAAAUUAUGUCUAUGGUAUUUUCAGUUUCUGGAGAAAAAUACUUAUAGACAGUUUAACUAUUACAUAGAUAUAUAAGUGAUCUCAGUUUCUUGUUUGCUGUGAUACUAAUGUGUUGUUUUAACUUAUUCCAUAAAAUGACAGUUGUGUCCUAGCCACAUCAGACAGCUAUCUAAGCUCUGGACUACCCCUUUGUGCAGCUGAAUCACUGCAGGGUUGACCAUGCCUGGUGCCACAGCCAUGGUUUCCAUUUCUAGAUGAAAGGAUGGCCUAGGACAUAGGUCUCAAAGACUCUUGGAUCAGAAUCAGGAGAUUAGGGAAAACAGGAUGGAUACCUGAGCACUAACAGCAGUAGACGUAGACCUCUGUCCUUUACCAUCUGAGGUCUUCUGGAUUCUUUGUGGGGUUAAUUUUGAUUUGAUGUCAUCUGUUUGCCCUUCAUCUUGCUUGCAAGUGUGCAUGGUUCAAUCCCUCACAUCCAGGAAAUGAAUUUUGCAAUUGGGCCAGAUGCUAAUUUGCACGUUGAUUCACCUUCUUUGCCUUUAAGCCUUUUUUUUCUUUUUUUUUUUUUUGGCAAAUGAAUGUACCAUUUCAACUUUGAUUUUAAUAGUGCUAGUUGAUAUUGGUAAUAAUGCUAACCAAGAGAUCAAUGCCAGAUUUUUCUCUUGGGGUAAGUUAGCUGAAGUCAUUUAAAGAUGGAAAGGUGGGAAAAUUCUUUGAUAUUUGAUGUCAUUGUAUCCACAUUUGUUGUAAGACAUAUUGCAUACCAAUUAUAAUUAUAUCAAUUAAAGUUGAUAAAAGCUUC